rnacentral:rRNA from 1 species
AAUGAACGCUGGCGGCAUGCCUUACACAUGCAAGUCGAACGGCAGCAUGACCUAGCUUGCUAGGUUGAUGGCGAGUGGCGCACGGGUGAGUAAUGCAUCGGAACGUGCCUUUUAGUGGGGGAUAACGUAGCGAAAGUUACGCUAAUACCGCAUAUUCUCUGAGGAGGAAAGCAGGGGACCUUCGGGCCUUGCGCUAGAAGAGCGGCCGAUGUCGGAUUAGCUAGUUGGUGAGGUAAGGGCUCACCAAGGCAACGAUCCGUAGCGGGUCUGAGAGGAUGAUCCGCCACACUGGGACUGAGACACGGCCCAGACUCCUACGGGAGGCAGCAGUGGGGAAUUUUGGACAAUGGGCGCAAGCCUGAUCCAGCCAUGCCGCGUGAGUGAAGAAGGCCUUCGGGUUGUAAAGCUGUUUCGGCUGGGAAGAAAUCGCACCCUCUAAUACAGGGUGUGGAUGACGGUACCAGCAGAAGAAGCACCGGCUAACUACGUG